UAGGGAGUCGGACCUGCCCAGUGAAUUUUUUUAACGGCCGCGGUACUCUGACCGUGCAAAGGUAGCAUAAUCAUUUGCCUUAUAAUUGGAGGCUAGUAUGAAUGGUUUGACAAGAAUAUAGCUGUCUCUUUAUAACUUUAUAGAAUUUUAUUUUAAAGUGAAGAAGCUUUAAUGUAAUUAAAAGACAAGAAGACCCUAUCGAGCUUUAAAAAAAUCUUUAGAAAUUAAUUAAUAAAUGAUCUUAAAAAAUCAGCUAUUGAAUAUUUUGGUUGGGGCGACUAAGGAACAGAAAAAGCUUCCUUAAAUAAUUAAUGACAUUCAUAGUAUUGAUCCAAAAUUUUUGAUUAAAGAAUAUAGUUACCGUAGGGAUAACAGCAUUAUCUUUUUUGAGAGUUCUUAUCGAAAAAAAGGUUUGUGACCUCGAUGUUGGACCAGAAUAUCCUAAAGAUGCAGAAGUCUUUAAGGGUUGGUCUGUUCGACCAUU
rnacentral:rRNA from 1 species